rnacentral:rRNA from 1 species
GACGAACGCUGGCGGCGUGCUUAACACAUGCAAGUCGAGCGGAGCGGCGAACGGGUGAGUAACGCGUGAGUAACUGCCCCCCUCUCUGGGAUAACAGUUGGAAACGGCUGCUAAUACCGGAUAGUGGUGGAUGACUCGCGUCCUAUCGGCUUGUUGGUGGGGUGGUGGCCGACCAAGGCGGCGACGGGUAGCCGGCCUGAGAGGGCGACCGGCCACAUUGGGCUGAGAAACGGCCCAAACUGCUACGGGAGGCAGGAGGGGGGAAUCUUGCACUAUGGGCGCAAGCCCGACGGAGCCAUGCCGCGUGUAGGAAGAAGGCCUUUGGGUUGUAAAGUAAUUUCAGGGAGGAGGGGUAAGAACCGCAGCGAUUGACGGUACUCGCAGAAGAAGCAUAGGCUAACUCCGUGCCAGCAGCCGCGGUAAUUC